rnacentral:rRNA from 1 species
GACGAACGCUGGCGGCGUGCCUAACACAUGCAAGUCGAACGGGGUCCAUGGGAGCUUGCUCCCGGAAGACCUAGUGGCGAACGGGUGAGUAACACGUGAGAAACCUGCCCUGGAGUGGGGAAUAACUCGGGGAAACUCGAGCUAAUACCGCAUACCCUCGGAUGGUCGCAUGGCCGACCGAGGAAAGAUUCAUCGCUUCAGGAGGGUCUCGCGGCCUAUCAGCUAGUUGGUGGGGUAACGGCCUACCAAGGCAACGACGGGUAGCUGGUUUGAGAGAACGAUCAGCCACACUGGGACUGAGACACGGCCCAGACUCCUACGGGGAGCAGCAGGUGGGAAUCUUGCGCAAGUGGGACGAAAGCCUGACGCAGCAACGCCGCGUGCGGAUGAC